rnacentral:tRNA from 1 species
GACCGCGUAGUUCAGUUGGCAGAGCAUUGGGCUAGUAUUCCAAAGGUCGUAGGUUCGAUUCCCACCGUGGCCA